rnacentral:rRNA from 1 species
CGCGUAGGCGGCCACCGCAAGUCAGUUGUGAAAGCUCUGGGCUUAACCCAGAAAGGUCAACUGAUACUGCGGGGCUAGAGUGCAGAAGGGGCAACUGGAAUUCUCGGUGUAGCGGUGAAAUGCGUAGAUAUCGAGAGGAACACCUGCGGCGAAGGCGGGUUGCUGGGCUGACACUGACGCUGAUGCGCGAAAGCUAGGGGAGCGAACG